CCAAGGAGUCUAACAUGCGCGCGAGUCGUUGGGCAGUACGAAACCCGAAGGCGCAGUGAAAGCAAGGGCCGCUCUCAGCCAGUGGCUCAGGUGGGAUCCAUGCCCCUUUGUUAAAGGGGGGGCUGGCGCACCACCGGCCCGUCUCGUCCGCGCUGUCGGUGAGGCGGAGCAAGAGCGUGCACGUUGGGACCCGAAAGAUGGUGAACUAUGCCUGAGUAGGACGAAGCCAGAGGAAACUCUGGUGGAGGUCCGCAGCGAUUCUGACGUGCAAAUCGAUCGUCAAACUUGGGUAUAGGGGCGAAAGACUAAUCGAACCAUCUA
rnacentral:rRNA from 1 species